CAGCUCCCUGCCCACCACCUGACAUCACAAUAGUUGGUGACAGCGGCUGGGGAGAGAUGUACUGGAGCCACUCUGUGUUCGCCGCAGAGUACAGCGUGUUUGAGCUAUCGGCCGCUGGCCGGACCAGGGUCUGCAAGACUGACCGGCUGUCCUGCACGCUGUCCGACGUGAACUUGACCGCCCUGGAGGUGACUGCCAGCAACGGUGUGGGACAGAGCAACCCCAGCAGGGACAUUUUCAGUAAGUACGCACCAAGUGCAGCUUUCAACAAAGGCAGACAAUCGCAUGAAUGUAGCAGAAGCCCAAUUCUGGAAUAGAACAUAAUUUGUUUUACUGAUGUGGGUGUUUCUGGAGGUUAUUUCAGGAGCUAUAAUAUGUACUCAGGCUGAGGACUAAAGACUGUUCACAAGUGUUUGUCUCUUGUUCAACAGUUUUGUCACGUAACUUUGCGAGAGUGCAUCCUUUUGCAAUGGAUAUGCCUACUUAUUUACACACGAUGAAAGAAGUGUCACCUCCUGAAGUGAACGUUACCGUGGAUGGGACCUCUCUGCACGUACGGUGGACGCCAGUGCAGGACGCCAAACGCUACGUCCUCAGCGUCGCGGAACAAUCCGACGGCGAGCCCGUCAAGGAGCUGCAGACGUUCGUGAGCAGAACGGCGUCCACCGUGACAGACCUCGCGCCUGCCACCAGACAUUGCGUUUCGGUGUCGGCUGCGGGAGACACCGCCGCGAGCCCCUUCUCUCCACCCGUCUGCGUCGUCACGGGGGAAGUCUAAUUCCACGUUUCGUAGUCGAGGACGGAAGAGCGGAGCAGCCUCCGAAUCGGCCUUGGGCAGAUCCAACGCGACGCGUCACCGUUCAGAUUAAGAAAGGCUCAAAUUCUCUCUGCGAUGAACUCGAGGGCCUCAUGUAAUUUCCGUAGUGUCUUCCAUUCACGCUCGGUAGGCUGAAAAGUAGUGUGAUUGAAAUUGUUUAAAAUCAUCAGAUACAGUUUUCCUGUCCCUACCAAAGCAUGCGCAAGCAUCUGUCAGAGCUCUGUUCGCAAAAGACUGCGGGACAUUUCUGUCUAAACGUAUUUUCCGGACAUGCUUAGAAAAUUCCAAGAAGCGAUUCCUCUGUACUGGC
rnacentral:lncRNA from 1 species